rnacentral:rRNA from 1 species
AGUGAACGCUGGCGGUAGGCCUAACACAUGCAAGUCGAACGGCAGCACAGUAAGAGCUUGCUCUUACGGGUGGCGAGUGGCGGACGGGUGAGGAAUACAUCGGAAUCUACUUUUUCGUGGGGGAUAACGUAGGGAAACUUACGCUAAUACCGCAUACGACCUACGGGUGAAAGCAGGGGAUCUUCGGACCUUGCGCGAUUGAAUGAGCCGCUUUCGGAUUAGUUAGUUGGCGGGGUAAAGGCCCACCAAGGCGACGAUCCGUAGCUGGUCUGAGAGGAUGAUCAGCCACACUGGAACUGAGACACGGUCCAGACUCCUACGGGAGGCAGCAGUGGGGAAUAUUGGGCAAUGGGCGGAAACCUGAUCCAGCCAUACCGCGUGGGUGAAGGAGGCCUUCGGGUUGUAAAGCCCUUUUGUGGGGAAAGAAAAGCAGCAGGUUAAUACCCCGCUGUUCUGACGGUACCCAAAGAAUAAGCACCGGCUAACUACGUG